GAAUGCUCAAUCUUCAUUCUCCUUUCCUCAGUGAGGAAAUAAAGAGAAUGUUAUGGAAUCAUUUUUCAUCUUUUCAGUAGCAAAACAAAUGCACUGUCCUUUAGCACUACUUAAAUUAACUCCACAUUCUCCUUUACCUUACUCCAACCUUCUUUGUGUGGGGAGGUAAGAUCACUUCAUCUUUGUGUUGUCCCACAAUGCUUCUCCAUAUCAUACAAGUUGGCUUCAAAAGUUUGUUGUCAUUCAAAUUACCAAUCUACUAUUUGUCUCUGAUAAAUCAACUUAAUACUACCUCACUUUGUACAGCUGUAUUAUUUGAAUGAUGUAAUGUUUAUUCCAUUAAUUAUACACUGAGCUAAAACAUAUAGCUAUGCAUAUCUUUCUAUUUAAGUGAAAGAAGGGGAAACAGGCUACUGUGUUUUCCAAGAAUGUAGGUUCUGUGCCAAGAACAGGAUUAACACCAGUGUUACACACAAGAACUAGAUGGUGAAAACUAUGGAUGAGUCUAUGCAUUAUAAUGAGAUAAUAAAACAUAAUGAAGUAAACGGUA